rnacentral:rRNA from 1 species
AGAGUUUGAUCAUGGCUCAGGACGAACGCUGGCGGCGUGCUUAACACAUGCAAGUCACGGGGGCUCGCAAGAGCAACCGGCGAACGGGUGCGUAACACGUGAGCAACCUGCCGAUCUGUGGGGGAUAGCCGGGCUAACGCCCGGGUAAUACCGCAUACGUUCUCUUGGGGGAGUCCCCGAGAGAGGAAACCUCCGGGGCAGAUCGAGGGGCUCGCGGCCUAUCAGCUAGUUGGUGUGGGUAAUGGCCCACCAAGGCGACGACGGGUAGCUGGUCUGAGAGGAUGGCCAGCCACAUUGGGACUGAGAGACGGCCCAGACUCCUACGGGAGGCAGCAGUGGGGAAUCUUGCGCAAUGGCCGAAAGGCUGACGCAGCGACGCCGCGUGUGGGAGGACGCCUUUCGGGGUGUAAACCACUGUUGCCCGGGACGAACAGCUUCUUUCGAGGAGCCUGACGGUACCGGGUGAGGAAGCACCGGCUAACUCCGUGCCAGCAGCCGCGGUAAUACGGAGGGUGCGAGCGUUGUCCGGAAUCAUUGGGCGUAAAGGGCGCGUAGGUGGCCCGGUCAGCGUGCGGUGAAAGCUCGGGGCUCAACCCCGAGUCGGCCGUGCGAACUGCUGGGCUCGAGCACUGUAGAGGCAGGCGGAAUUCCGGGUGUAGCGGUGGAAUGCGUAGAGAUCCGGAAGAACACCGGUGGCGAAGGCGGCCUGCUGGGCAGUGGCUGACACUGAGGCGCGACAGCGUGGGGAGCAAACAGGAUUAGAUACCCUGGUAGUCCACGCCGUAAACGAUGGGCACUAGGCGCUUGGGGGAGCGACCCUCCGAGGGCCGGCGCUAACGCAUUAAGUGCCCCGCCUGGGGAGUACGGCCGCAAGGCUGAAACUCAAAGGAAUUGACGG